rnacentral:ncRNA from 1 species
AGAAGUAAGCGACGAAAUGCUUUGGGGAGUUGAAAAUAAGCAUAGGUCCGGGGAUCCUCGAUAUAGGUUAACCUUUCGAACUACUGUUGAAUUCAUGGGUAGGCAAAAGACAACUUAGUGAACUGAAACAUCUUAUAGUAGCUAGAGGAAAAGAAAGCAAAAGCGAUUCCUGUAGUAGAGGCGAGUGAAAUGAGA